UACAUACUUUCUCCGUUUCGAAUUAUUUGUCGCAAGUAUGGAUGUAUUUAGAUGUAUUUUAGUUCUAGAUAUAUCCAUUUAUGCGAUGAGUAAUUUGGGACGGAGGGAGUAGUAC
rnacentral:pre_miRNA from 1 species